UAGGGAAUCUUGCGCAAUGGGCGAAAGCCUGACGCAGCAACUCCGCGUGCGGGAAGAAGGCCUUCGGGUUGUAAACCGCUUUUGGCAGGAACGAAAAUGACGGUACCUGCAGAAGAAGAUGCGGCCAACUACGUGCCAGCAGCCGCGGUGACACGUAGGCAUCAAGCGUUGUCCGGAUUUAUUGGGCGUAAAGAGCUCGUAGGCGGUUCAGUAAGUCGGGUGUGAAAACUCAGGGCUUAACCCUGAGACGCCACUCGAUACUGCUGGGCUAGAAUUCGGUAGGGGAGUGGGGAAUUCCUGGUGUAGCGGUGAAAUGCGCAGAUAUCAGGAGGAACACCGGUGGCGAAGGCGCCACUCUGGGCCGAUAUUGACGCUGAGGAGCGAAAGCGUGGGUAGCAAA
rnacentral:rRNA from 1 species